rnacentral:lncRNA from 1 species
GUGGCCGCAGCCGUGACUUCCUUGGGAACCGCGCUGCCUCGACUCGGCUACCUCUCUGCGAAGCACUCGCUAAGCCGGGCAGCCCCGGGGUCGCUUAGCGGCCCAGGAGGCGCCAGCGAUCCUGUUCCCCUGCAGAGCUAUGGGGACCGGAAGGCGAAACAGAGCUGUCGACGCGGGAGCAUACGCUGCCCACCAGUGGAGCGCAGGAGUGCACACAUGCUUCUGUCUUCACAUAUGCACAGCUGAAAGUGAGAUGAUUUCUCUACUCCACAGUUGGGAAGGGGGAUUAGACAACAGAGAAGAUGGAGAAGACAAAAGGGCUUGUGGAAAACUGCAAGUCAACAUUUCUUUGGUAAGGCAGUUACCACACAUGAGCACUGGCUGCCAAGCAAAGACUAUGGUUCACUGAAGAGAACCUGACAGGAGUAGCCACCCCUCUGUUUCAGGCAGUAAUUGCCAUGUGAGACUGUGAUGGUUGUCCAGAUCUUCUGAUUAUUCAAGUAAAGCUGGAAAUUUAGAUUUGUAUUUGAUCCCUCACAUCUUUAAAUGCAGGCAACUAAUUAAAAUUAAAAGAA